UGGGGAAUAUUGCACAAUGGAGGAAACUCUGAUGCAGCGAUGCCGCGUGAGGGAAGAAGGUUUUAGGAUUGUAAACCUCUGUCUUAGGGGACGAUAAUGACGGUACCCUAGGAGGAAGCUCCGGCUAACUACGUGCCAGCAGCCGCGGUAAUACGUAGGGAGCGAGCGUUGUCCGGAAUUACUGGGUGUAAAGGGAGUGUAGGCGGGACUGCAAGUCAGAUGUGAAAACUAUGGGCUUAACCCAUAGACUGCAUUUGAAACUGCGGUUCUUGAGUGAAGUAGAGGUAAGCGGAAUUCCUAGUGUAGCGGUGAAAUGCGUAGAUAUUAGGAAGAACACCGGUGGCGAAGGCGGCUUACUGGACGAGUACUGACGCUCAGGUGCGAAAGCGUGGGGAGCAAACA
rnacentral:rRNA from 1 species